GCAGCCGCGGUAAUACGUAGGGUGCGAGCGUUAAUCGGAAUUACUGGGCGUAAAGCGUGCGCAGGCGGUUUUGUAAGUCAGAUGUGAAAUCCCCGAGCUCAACUUGGGAACUGCGUUUGAAACUACAAGGCUAGAGUAUGGUAGAGGGGGGUAGAAUUCCACGUGUAGCAGUGAAAUGCGUAGAGAUGUGGAGGAAUACCAAUGGCGAAGGCAGCCCCCUGGACUAAUACUGACGCUCAUGCACG
rnacentral:rRNA from 1 species